rnacentral:misc_RNA from 1 species
GAACACACCGCCCGUCACACCAUGGAAGCUGGUAGUGCCCGAAGUCAUUACUCCAACCUGCAAAGGAGGAGGAUGCCUAAGGCAGGACUGGUGACUGGGGUGAAGUCGUAACAAGGUAGCCGUACCGGAAGGUGUGGCUGGAUCACCUCCUUUUUAGGGAGACCUACACCCCUCAGAAAUCGAAAAGCAGACAGCGAAAUAGAUACUGAGUUGGUCUAACCUAGGUCGGUCGAGAUUGGAAAAUAGCUUUCAAAGUAUUACUGGUUCGGUAAAUCAAAAGAAUUUAAAUAAAGGGAGUGAGAAAUCAGCAACAUGACUAAAUGUCAGACUGCUGAGAAGAAUCUCAGCCAGAACCUUGAAAACUGCAUAGUAACGCGAAAAUAGCAGGCAGACACAGACAUGAUUUGUGCUGAGUGCCGAGUGCUGAGUGCUGAUUUUAAUCAGUGCAAGGUGAUGAGGGAAUCAGAAAAAAGGAUGUUGUGAAUGCAUAAAGUGUAAAAAAUUGAGUGGUCAAGCUAAGAGGGC